UACUUGCUCUGGUGAGAGAAAAAUUCUCUAGGACCCAGGUCCAAUCUUCUGUGAAUAGAAAAUUGUUCCAGAAAGAUAUUUUACAAGAUCCCGAAGACCAUUGAAGAUCCUGACUCUGCUGUUAUCCUGAGAAGACCAAAUUUCAAAGGGGGUUGACUUAACUGCUCAGUUUGCCUUACUAGGGGCAUUAGCUUCACCUGGGGUAGACUUAAUCACUCCUGAUACCUGACUUCUAUCUAUAAUUUAGAGACUUAUUCCUCUGCGGGUUUUAGCCUAGAGAUAGAUUAGAAUUGAAGGAGAUCACUUAAGCAGAGAGUGUAUUCAGUGUAGUCUUGGCCCUGGCUGAGGACAGAAGAGACUUUAAAGCAAAAUCAGACUGAUGGGUAUAAAUUAGAUUUAUUAGCCAUAGGGAAACCUUUCAAACCAUGUUCCUAACCCCAUCUCCAAUUUACAACUUUACAAUAAACCUUGUUACUUUAGAAAGCAGUCAGAUUGGAUGCAUACUGACCCUAGGCAGAGAGUAGCCAUUUUUGCUCUCUACCACUAAAGAGAAUGUUUGCCCAACUGGGUCAAGCAAAAUUCCCAGUCACUCAUCUUAAAUCACUCUUACACCUCAAGAUAUGAAAUUUGUAGAUGUUCUCCAAGGCAUUGUUCUGGAUAUUUUUCUUUUCUGUCUCCACAUUUUCCUUGUUAACAUCAUUCAUUUCUCUUGAUUCCAUUAUUAUAUCUUUGCAGGUGACUAUUAGAUUAAUAUAUCCAACCCUAAUUUCUCUCCUAAACUCCAGUCAUACAUUAUCAAAUGCCUAUUGUAUAUUUCUAAAUAUAUGUCCCAAAGGAACUCAGUGCAUCCAAACUAGAACUCUUUCUCUUUCCCAUCCCUAAAAAUAUAUAUUCUAAGCUCCCCCUCUAAAUUCUACUCAGUUGGAUUCCCAAAUUUGGCAUCUUCUUUAACUCUUCUCUUUCCCUUAUCUGUAAUAUCAAAUAAACUCCCCAACUUGUAGGAUCUAUUUCCACAAUCUUUCUCGUAUUUGUCCCUUCCUCUCCAUUAACACAGCCACCACUCUAGAUCAGACUUUUAUUACCUCCAGUUGACUAUUGCAGUAACCUUCUAUCCAAAGGCUUGGCUUUUAAUCUCCUUUCUUUCCAAUUCGUCUUCUAUACAGCUGCCAAAAUAAUCCUUCUAAUUGAUAAAUAUGAUUGUGGCAUUCUCUUACCUAAAAACUAUCAGUAACUCCCUACUUUCUUUAGCAUAAUUCCUGAUUUUAGCAAUGAAAGCCCUUCACAGUCUGGAUUUAGCUUACAUUUCUGGUUUUAUUAUUCACUCACAGUUAUAUACUUGAUAUUCUAACCAAACUGGCCUACUUGUUCUUUGUAGAAUUUGGCAUUCAAACCCCCACUUGCAAAAUUUUGCAUAAUCUAUCUUCUUCAAGCCUAGAAUCCAUUUUCCCCCAGGAUCCUAAAACCCUUAACUUCCUUUAAGCCUCAGUGUAUGUGCAACACUUUGGGGAAAUCUUUAAUGCUCUCUCAAUUUAAUAGUACCUUCCCCUCCUCAAAUGAUCAUGCAUGUAUUAAUCACUUUUAAAUAUUGCAUAUCCUCCAGUAGAAUACAAGCUCCUUGAGAUCAGGGAAUCAUUUUUAUUUUGUCUUUGUAUUCCUAACAUUUAGCAUAAUACUUUGCACAUUGUAAGUGUUUAAUAAAUACUUUUAGAAUUUAUUGGACUAAAAGGUAUCACAUGAUCCAGAGAGGCAUGCUACCUGCUCACACCUAAACUAGUCAUCUGGGGUCUCUCCACACUCAUCCUCAACACACACCUGAUAGUAUCUCCCUUAAUUCCUCACCCAGAUGCAGAUCUCUAAUUACAGUUCUAUCUUCAAGUUGUUGAAAGGCUGUCAUGAAAAUAUAAGGACCUUCUGCUUAUUCUUAGACAGCAAAACCAAAAACAAUGAAGUUCCAAAGGAGAGGGGCAAUUGAAUAGAGAAAGGUUUAAAUAAUGUCAGAAAGAAUUUCUUAACAAUUAGAGUGUAUAGUGUAGUGAUGGUGAACCUUUUAGAGAUUGAAUGCUCAAAUUACAACCCUCAUGGUACUUGAGACCUGAACCUUACCCCAAACUGGAGGGGGAUGAAACACUCCCAUUGGGCUGUUGGGCAGAGGGGCAGAUGAUGUGAGAAAUGUCCUCAGGUACAUGUGGAGAGGGAGAAGGGAGAAGCCCCCUUUUGCACACUGUAGCACACAUGCCAAAUGUUUAUCAAUAUGGGUAUAGGGUUUCCUUUGAGAACUAGUGGGCCCUUCUUUACUAAAAGAUUUCAUUAGGUAUGCUGUAAUUAAUUACUGUUCUUGUUCUAAACUAAUGUAUGAAAUUAAUUGACUUCUGAAGUCCAUUCCACCUCUAAAACUGACUCUCAGGCCAGAGUAGAUGUUAAUAUAAAAUGAUCUCUUCUCAACAAAGGAAACACGUCCUGUUAUCAGUAUGUCUAUUGAAUGAACAUUUAUGUUCGUGAAUGAACACAUCUGAAAAUAAACCUUGCCAUGGACAUUAAGGACACCCAUUUGAAAUUGACUUUUUAGUAUACAUGUAAAAUUUCCACAUAUUUUGGUAGCAACAGGAGAAGAAAGAGUACAUAGAGGUAGAAAAUUAUGUUAGGAAUUCUAGGUGAAUCUGGAAAGAAAGGUAAAUUCCAAGGGAAAAAGAGAGGAAUAAUACAUUUUAAAAAGUGGGACUUAAAACGUGUGGCAGAAUCAUAGUUUUAAAUACAUGGAUGUAUUCAAAGGAUGGUUAAAUCAGUAUAGAGAGGAAAAGAGAGGAGAUCCUCCACCUUCUCAAAGCAAGAUUCAGGGGAGACAGCUGAUGUUUAGGGUUGGCUCAGAGAGAGGAAAGGGGUUUUUUUAAAAGAUUUUCCUCUUUCUGCCUUCUCUCCUAAGCUAAGGCUGCUCUCCCAGAUUUACUCUUGUUCCUCUUGUCCCCCCUCCACUACUUAACACCAAAGGGUCUCCCCUUGAUCUGUUCACUCACACUUGUUCCCUGGCGCUCCACCCACAUCAAGGUGAUCAGUUACACACACACUUUAUUCUGGCACUUUUCUUAUGUGUCAGCCUCUGUCACAUGGAUAUAUUUAUGUUCUCAGUCCCAAGUAAGUACUGAUACCAUCAAAGAAUAGAAAAGAAGUCAUCUCAAUUCUUCAAAUGUUCUGAGAAAAAAAUUUGUUUUUCUUUUCAGAGGAACCUCUAAACUCACUCUUUUGCCCAUGAAGUCCAGUGAGGUAAAAAUCUACCCAGUGAACUGUUAACCAGUUGAAGAGUGAGAGCUUCAUGCAAGUAUCUGAUUUGAAAGCAUCUUCUUUCUAUUGCUGUCAUCUUGUCCAUUUGGAAAUCUUCAGAGGCCUUUCUGGGAUAUGCCAGCAUUUAAAAUCUGUUUUCGAAGGUCAGGUGGAUAUCUGCUAAAAUUUCUUAGAAUAUAAAUCUUAAAGCAAUUUAGUACAGGCACUCUAAUUUGCUUUUCUAGUGACUAGCUUAGGUCUUACAAUCUAGUAGCUCGUAUGUGUUCCAGUCUUAGACUAUGGGGGUCAAAAUAUAUCACUGAUCAACUUUUAUGAUCACAAAAAGUUGCUACAAAAGGACAAUUAGGAACAUGACUAUAGGAGAAAGGACUAGAAGGGGGAAGAUAAUCAUUUAUUCAACUCCAGGCAAGAAUUAGAAAGAGAGCCAAAUAGAGUCACAACAAUUUCAUAGCAUGGUUUGGAAACAGCUAGAUAGUAAUAUUUUCCAUUCAAAAGGAAAUAUAAUUCUAGGGAAAUGAAGGCAGGGGAAACCCACUUCUGCUCAUGCAAGGAAUUGCUCCCUCAUCUUCUCCAUUAAGACAAACCUUCACUUGCAGUUCACAGGUGGCAUCUCCAUGCUGGCACUAGGAAUCCUUGCCUUAAUAUCAGGCACUGAUGAUCAUACCUGGAAUUUGACUCAGAAUAAAAUUAUGAUUUCAUAAAGUUUAACCAUAAGUAACAAAUUCAAAUAAUUAUAGGUUUGAGUCAACUCUGUUACCAGGGCUGACAAAUAUUAUAGCCUGACCCCUUAGAUUAGUAUUUAAAGAUGAAUGUAAAAUUGUUCAAACCAAGAAGGUGGAUUUAAUUCAAGCCCCAAAUUAAAAUUUGAUUCCAAUUCAGAAUUUCAAAAUUUCUUUUUUUUUCAAUCAAUUCUUCUUUCUCCAUUUCAGGGAGUAGAGAUCGAUAAUAUCAAAUUAUCAGGUAAAACCAUAAGAGAGUACAUAUUUUACUUCCGUUGUACAAAUGUAUGGUCCAUAGUAAAAUAUCAAUACGGAACAUAUUCCAUAAUCAGGAAUUCAUCACAAACAUGACAGAAUAAAUUGCCUUGGCUAGUGCACUUUGCCCUAAAAGUAAGAAAUAGGGACACGAUUUUCAUAGAAUCAAUACUGGGAUGUUAGUCCUAAAGCUAAGGAGACAGAACAACUCAACAAAUAUAUGACAGGACAAAGCAUCAUUAGCUUUGUUUGACAUAAUAUCAACAGUCAAUAACAAUUUCCAAGUUACAUGGGGGAUUCCUCUCCUUGAUUUGCUUCUGGGUUGCAAGAGAUUAAAAUGUAAAAUAUUGAAUUUUUAAAAGAUAAUUUAGAAUAUUCCCUCACUGAAGCAGGAGUAUAUUAUCAUACAACAUCCAGUCAAAAAUCACUAUGUGGAGCUCAUCUUUUAUGUUUCUUACAAAAUAAUCAUAUACUUGUCCUUAUUAAUGGAAUUUACUUAGUGAGAAAGAAAGAAAGGGGCAUGACACCAUCAAUAGUAUUCUUCAGUGGAGCUCAAGUCAAAGUGUGAAGAUUAAAUGCAACACUCCCCUGAUUAUAACAAUGAAAAUACUUAACUCUCCCCUGAUUGUGAAGAUUAAAUUGUAAACCCUUUCUAUUUUUAGAACAUGGUACUUAAAAGUUAAGUAUGAAGAUCUGCUCAUUUAGACCUAAUGACCAAAAGUGCAAAUAUCUCACUUAAUCAUGAAGUGGGAGGUCUGUGAUCUACCUGUGUGAUAGUGGAUGAUGAAUCAAAAUUGACUGACUGCCUUCUGGGCAGUCCUAAAACAAAGCAUCAACUGUGAUUGGUAGGUAUAAAAUUAGGGGAAGACACGGGAAAUGAUGCAAAAGAAGCAUCUUGAAAAGGAUCUAUUACUUCCUGUGAGAAUUCAAUUCUUCAUGCUUUCGAGUUGAGGUUGGUGAAGAGGGGAAGAAGUAUGUGGUGACUGGCCUGACAUAUGGUGAGUGAAAAAGCUGACUCUUAACUGCAUGUUUUUUUCUAAAGAGUCUGGCCUCAGGAAAGACCUAUUGCCCUUGAGAAACUUCCUGAGUCCUUAGCUUUGCUGAGGCUGGAUGAAACCAAUUCUCCCUGCCUGAAGGGACUGGGAGUAAAUUACUAAAUGCUCAGGCUAGAUAUCUUACCUUAUCUUUUCUCUGAUUUCUUACUUUACUCUUUCUACAUUUUGUAAAUAAAUUGUAAAAAAAUCUCUUUGGAAUUAAUUAAAUUCCUGGUGACCACACUCUUUAAAUAUAAAAUCCAACCCUUAAAAAAAAAAAAAACACCUUUUCCUCCUUAAACAGGUAUGGGUCAGAGUCAGUAGUUAAUCAUAUUGAAGGGCUCAUUAUGAACUACAAAGUUUCAAAGCCUGGUCUAGAUGCACUUAUGUGGGAAAAAGUCUUUGUUUACCAGGUUAAGGGAACUAAGUCAAGAGAAUCUUAGCUUUGCCUUCUUAACAUCUCUCUUGACAGUCCCAGAGAUAAGCACCCACCUAUAGAAGUCUUCCAACUGCAUGUGGCCUUCCCCUUGAAUGUUAGACAAAUGGCCUCCUGAGAUCAAAUAUUCAUACAUAGCAUCAAAACUUUAAAUUGUAGUAGACUAAAGUCUUCAAAGACUUUUCCUAAAACAGUAAAAAUCCACUUAAAUAUAAAAUCAUUUCAUAGAGAGAAAUGUAAAAAAUAUCAAAUUUAUCUGGUAGAAACAAACUCCACUAGUAAUUACAAAAGCAUAUAUAUUUCCUAUGAACUGAUAGACUGGUGGCCUUAUGAGAGGUAAAAACAAACACACACACACACACACAUAACCACACACACACACAACCACACACACAGCUUAGAUGAUUUUCUUUGUCUGGGAGAGACUGUAGUUCAUUAAAUUGAAGUGCUGGAGUUUAAGAUUUCACAGAACCCUGCUAAAUCUGGAAGUCCCAAGGAACCUCAUAAACCUUCCAAGAGACUUUUGUUGUUUCCCUACACAGUAAAUUAUUAUGAUAAUAUUAAUAUUAUUCUGUUUUAAAGGAAAAUCUAGUUCAUUAAAUACUUAACAAACAGCAAUCCUUUUUAUCAUAAAAGGUUAAUCUAUAAUCUGCUUAGCAGCAUGGUAAAAAGGGGAAGUUACUAUAGCAGUCCUCAAAUAUUAAAUUUUCUAGAAAGUUUAGAACAUAAUUCAGUCUUAUAUAUUUAAUAUAGAAUAAGUGCUUUAUUCAUCAUUCAAAAUUAAAUAAAAAUAAGGUUAAAGUUUAACAUAUAUAGUACAUAAUAUACAUACAUAUUGUAUCUAUCAUAUUCUACAUUUUUAUGAAUAUUUUAUCUGAUUAUUAAUGCUCAAUUUAAAAAAUUUCAGAGCCCUAGGUAAUGGAGUCAAUAACAAUUAAAAAAUUGUUUUUUCCAUCACACUCUUCUAACUGUCACCAACUGCCAAGCGGCAUAGCAGGGGGUCACCAACUGACAACCUGCACAGCAAGGGGUUUCUUACACAGAAAUCCUAUUUCUCCCUUUCCUCUGAAAAAUAAAAAAGGAGAAAUUAAUAAAAACUCUCUUAAAACAGGCAUUGUGAUAAGCACUUUACAAUUAUAUAGUCAUCUCAAUAACCCUGGGAGGUAGGAACUAGUAUCAUUGUUUCCUAUAAAAAGUAAUUUGAAUAAAGUUCUGUUGUAUCAGUUUCCCUAAUCAGGAAAAAUAUAUCAUUGUAAAUGAGAUUACCUUAUAGAUUUUAGUCUUAAAGUUUCAACCAACUCAAUUAUUGAUUUAUGAAUUGCAAUGAUAAUAUUUAAACCUAAAUUUUCUAAAAGUAUACUGUUCUUUUAGUUCACAUUGGAAAAAAAAAAUCACAGUAGUAGUCUUAGAUCUUCACAACUAUUUAUUUAUGAGCAUUUUUAAAAAUCACCCAAAAAGUCAAAUUACUUCCCUUUAUUUCUCCUUCUUAAAAUAACCAGUAUGCUUCAAGAGUUCAGAUAAAGUGCACAUCUCUCUCUACACUGAAGCUUUGCAUAUGUAUCCCAUGCAGGGAAAGCCACUAAGGCUUUUAGAAUAGCUAUUUAAAGAAACACUAUCCUUUCCAACAAUCAAAUAGGGAAUAAUAUAAAAAUCAAAAGUAUCAAUAAAAUUUUAUACAAUUUAUUUUGUCAUCUUAUAUUUGUUUAGAGAGGAAAACACCUAACAAUUGUCAAAGAGCCAUUUAUCUAAAAACUCCUGGAAUUCUGCGAUAACAUUGUUGCAAUUUAGAUGCAGGACUCUUCCUCUCCUCAUCACCUACCAAUACAUACUACCUCAAAAGGCCAAAAAAUACCCCAAAUUCAGAUGAAUAAAUGGUCUCCACAGUAGAUCUCAACACUGAAGAGAGCCUGCCCUCCUCACUCAGACUCCUGACUGGAAAAGGAAGGAAAAACCAGCUUAGCAAAGGCAACCAAUGCCCAGAAAAUACAAUUUCUAACCACCAAGAAGAACAAGAAAAAUGCUUUGACCCUGGAUAAAUUCUAUGGAGAAAAAAUUCAGACUACAGAGGAAAUAGCAGAGGAAAAUGAUCAAUUAAAUGCAUCUAAACCUUCCAAAAAAAUGGAAAUUCGCCAUAAACUCUUGAAGAAUUUAAAUCUGGGAUUUUGAGAAAAAUGGACUUUUCGCAAGGAAAAAUUGGAAAUAGUUAAAAAAGAAAAUAACAGUCAGAUAAGAACUCCCAAUUGGAGAAAGAAUCCCAGAAAUCAAAUGAAAUGAUGAAUAAAUUGAAGAAAACAAUUAAAUAGCUGGAAGCCAUGAAAAGCAGGAUAGACCAAGCCAGAAAAAAAAUAAAAAAAAUAUAGCAGAAAACCAAAAUUUUAUAAUGGAAAACCAGUCUUUAAAGACCAGAAUGGGGCAGUUGGAAGCCAAAGAUCUCACAAAACAGCAAGAAUUGAUAAAGCAAAGUCAAAAGACUGACAAAAUAGAAGGAAAAAUGGAAUAUCUCAUUGAGAAGAUGACUGAUCAUGAAAACUGAUCUAGACGAGACAAUUUGAGAAUCAUUGGUCUAACUCAAAACCCAAAAAUAAACAGAAAUCUUGACAUCAUACUACAAGAAAUGAUCCAAGCAAACUGCCCUGAUAUUCUUGAACAAGAGGGCAAAAUAGACAUUAAAAGAGUUUUUAGAACACCCUCUGCAGUAAAUCCUCAAAAGACAACCCCAAGGAAUGUAAUUGCCAAAUUCAAGAGCUUCCAGGCUAAUGAGAAAAUUUUACAAGAAGCCAGAAAGAGACAAUUCAGAUAUCAAAGAACAUCAAUCAGAAUUACACAAGAUCGGGAAGCUUCCACAUGAAAGGACAGCUUCCACAUGAAAGGCUUGGAAUAUGAUAUUCAGUAAGGCAAGAGAAUUGGGUUUUCAACCAAGGAUCGCAUCCCCAUCAAAACUGAUUAUAUGCUUCCAGGGAAAAGUAUGGGCAUUCAACAAAAUAGAAGAUUUCCAAGUAUUUGUAAAGAAAAUUCCAGAACUAAGUGGAAAAUUUGAUAUCCAAACACAAAAAUCAAGAGAAACAUGAAAAAGUAAAUAACAAAGAGAGGGGAAAGAAAAAAAAAUAUUUUUAUUUAAAUUUUCUCCUUUAAGGGCUUCAGUAAGAUCAAAUUGUUUAUAUUAAUAUAUGGGGAAAUGUUAUUUGUAACUCUCAAAAUUAUAUUCACUAUUAUAUAAUAUUUAGAAAAAUCAUUAAUAGGUCGAAAUUGGGGUAAUAAGUGGUCUAAGAUGAUAUGUUAAAAAAAAGAAGAAGAAAAAGGAGGGAAGGGAAUAGAAGAUGGCACCAAGAGAAAAUUGAAAGAAUAAAAUAAAUAGGACAAUCUAUACAACACAAAGAGGCACAUGGAGAGGGGAGGGGAAAAAUGUUAUUAUAAGAAGGAGAGGAAGGGAGUGCUAUCUGCACAGAUACAGCCGGUUCAAGUAAGCCUACAUUGGAAGAAGAUGUGGCCCAAAGAGACUCUGGUAUAUCUGCAGGUAUUACAAAGGUGGGAUGCUCUUUCCCCUCCUAACUCUCUGAGAGAAGUACAGGGAGUAAUUUUAAAGAUUCCUCGGGUACUUCCAAUGAUAAGGAACCAUCUGGGCAGCAAGUUAUUGUAGCUCUGAGUUUGCAUAGAAGGUCCCUCCCCAUCAAAUUUAAACAUCAAGUCAGGCAUCAAAAGGAAAGAAUGUUGUACUUCUAGGGGUCCUACAAACACCAUUCUAUGAGAAAGCUUUUUAACUCUUUGGGAUAUCCCUGACACUCCCAUUACAUUCUCUGAGCCAAUGGAAUAGCAAUGUAAAUCAGGUGUACUCUUUAAUACAGACCUGGAAGCUCCAGUGUCCAAAAGGCAGUCAUAAUAGGUAUUACCCACCUUUAAGGUAACAUGGGGCUCAUCAGUAUAGGGGCGACAGUGGAUAAGGACAAUGGGUAGUAGGACAUCAGGGUCCAGAAAAUCAAAGGUUGUUUCCUCUGAUUGCUGUGCCCCAGUGCCCCCUGGAAACCUUCAUAGUAUUUGGGAAAUUCCUUGGGCAGUCCGCUGAGGGGCACCCCCUUGAGGGGCAUCAGCACCUCGAGUAUUUUUUGGACGAGCAUCACUUAGGUUAUAUUGUUGUGGAGUCAUUUGGUUUGAGUUAUCAUCUUCCCAAUAUCUAUUCCUAUACUUAUCAUUCCUAAAGUUGUGGUUUCCAUUAUGAUUAUUAUAGUUAUUUCUUUAAUUAUAAUUUCUGUAGUUGUUAUUAAACUGCAUAUUCCUUCUGAUUGCCUUGAAUAA